GACAGAGGGUGCAAACGUUGUUCGGAAUUACUGGGCGUAAAGCGCGUGUAGGCGGCUAUGCAAGUCGGGCGUGAAAUCCCACGGCUCAACCGUGGAAGUGCACUCGAAACUGCGUAGCUAGAGUCUCGGAGAGGAAGGUGGAAUACUUGGUGUAGAGGUGAAAUUCGUAGAUAUCGGGAGGAACGCCGGUGGCGAAAGCGACUCUCUGGCCCGUUCCUGACACUGAGGCGCGAAAGCUAGGGGAGCAAACAGG
rnacentral:rRNA from 1 species